AACGCGAAGAACCUUACCUGGGCUCGAAGCGCAGUGGAUAUGGGUGGAAACAUCCCUUUCUCGCAAGAGACUGCUGCGGAGGUGCUGCAUGGCUGUCGUCAGCUCGUGUCGUGAGAUGUUGGGUUAAGUCCCGCAACGAGCGCAACCCUUAUCGUUAGUUGCCAGCGAGUCAAGUCGGGCACUCUAGCGAAACCGCCUCGGAUAACGGGGAGGAAGGUGGGGAUGACGUCAAGUCCUCAUGGCCUUUAUGUCCAGGGCUACACACGUGCUACAAUGGCCGGUACAAACCGUCGCAAACUCGCGAGAGGGAGCUAAUCGGAAAAAGCCGGCCUCAGUUCGGAUUGGAGUCUGCAACUCGACUCCAUGAAGCUGGAAUCGCUAGUAAUCGCGGAUCAGCACGCCGCGGUGAAUACGUUCCCGGGCCUUGUACACACCGUGUCGA
rnacentral:rRNA from 1 species